GGCAGAGAGACCAGUAAAGACACUGGCAGAGAGACCAGUAAAGACACUGGCAGAGAGACCAGUAAAGACACUGGCAGAGAGACCAGUAAAGACACUGGCAGAGAGACAAUAACAAAAGCUAGUCAAGAGACCCGAAAGGACAGCAGGAGCAGAGGGAAAGAUAAGGAGGCGGAAAAGAUAAUCAAGGAGAUGGAGACUGGCAAAAAAGAGACCAGUACAGAGACUCGCAAAAAGUUAGGGAGUAAGACUAGAAACAUGACAGUCCAUGAGACCAGCAAAGACACUGGGAAAAUGACCAGUACAGAGACUGUUAAGGAGACUGAGAGAGAGACUAGCACAGACAUGGAGAGAGAGACCUGUAGAGCUGUUAGUAUAGUGGCCAGUAGAAUCAGCAAUAGAGAAACCAAAAAAAAGCCAGAGACUUGUAAAACACCUGAAAAGAAGACCAAUACUCAGACUGUGAAAGAAAAAACUAAAGUGACUCCUCCCCCCAUCUCCCCUCCAACCACUAAUCUGUGGGAUUUCCUGAAGAGGCAGAACCGAGGAGCUGUGAUUGGUCUGAGUGCACUCAUCGAGUGCCACAGUCACGGCCAGCCCCCCCUCUACCUCUGCCAGGUGUGUGGGUGUAAAGUCUUCCAGAACGCCAUCAUCGUCCAUGUAACCACAGACUGCCACCGGCUUUCCUACCUGAGGUCGCUGAAGACAGUGGUUGUCCCCAAAGGGAACCAGCUCCAUAAGAAGUUGAGGAGAGCUGCCUUGAAGCUGGAGAGGACCAUGGGAUAUGGAGAGGCUGAGGUAACGGAGUUGGAUGCACACACUUACAAUUUUGUUGCAGAAAGAUCCUUUGCCAUUGGCCUGAACAUUGUAAUGAAGGUCAUAAAUGGUGACCCUUCACCUGACCCCCUACUGUUGGUCAGCCCUAAACCCCCUGACCCCUCACCCCAGGUCAGCCCUGACCCCUCACUCCAGGUGUCAGAGGUCAGCAACCCCACCAUGACCUCUACAGCUCUGUGGUCCUACCUGAAUGCCUCCACCAGGACACAGCCUGUCAUCGGUGUCAGUAUGUUGACAGAGUUGCCAGACAGACAUGGUGACUACUUCCUCUGCCGCUGCUGUUCUCACAGGAUGUUUACAUCAUCCCUCAUUGGACACCUAAUCUCUGCUCGACACCGCUACCACUACAUAAAACUAGUGUACCCUGAGCUGGCUGCUGAUUGGCCAGUGAGCCCAGAGCUGACGGUGAAGGCGGGGCCUCUUCAUGAGGAGCUGAGAGUGAGAGCUGCAGAACUGGAGGCACAGGAGGGACUAGGACAGCUCACGGUGGUAAAGAGAGAACCUGCUGCUGGAGACACAACCACUACCAAUACUGAAGGGACUGCCCAGCAGAGCCAGAACGGCUCACCUCCUCUCUCUGUGAAAGAGGAACCGGUUGACUCCACAGUACCAUCCCAGCCCCCUAGAGGAGAAAAGAGGAACAAGAGGAGGAGCAACCCUGUGGUUGGUGUGAACUUCCUGGUCCAGGUGUCCCACAGGAGAAGGAAACAGUACUACUGUCAGCUAUGUUCUGUCAGGAUGAAACACGCUAUUGCUGAUCACAUGACCAGCCUCAGCCACCGACACAACUAUGUGAGGUUGAAGUACCCUGGUUGGACCUCCAGCCCGGUAGAGAUGGAGAAGAAGCUGUUCAAAAUGGCCGUUCACCUGGAGAAGGUCGACAGAGACGCAGGAAUGGGCAUGCAGAAGGUAGAAGUGGAAGCUGAUGAGUACAAAGAGCUGUUGUCCUUUCCUGUGGAGGAAGGUGUCAGUAAACUGCAAGCCAUCAUCAGACGGCAACAAGAGCCAUGCGAUCUGAGACACACAGCUCCCUCGACCAAUCACAACCCAGAGGAUCUGAGACAGACAGCUCCCUUGUCCAAUCCCGAUGCAGCCCAAUGUCCAGCUCAAGGUAUGUGUGGGGCAGAGUCACGUGAGACCGAGGGAGUGUGUCCUCUCCCUGUCAGUCUAUCAGAGGAGGAGAAUGACCAGACGCUCCUGGUUCAGAUCUCAAUGUUUUUGGGAGAAGACCAGGAACCCCUACAAGUACCUUCCCGUUCCUCCAGGAUCAGCCACCCCUUAUUUCCAUCCCUCUCCCACUCUCUACACCUCACCCUAUCCCCCUCUCUUCCUCAAUCCCCCUCCCUCUCUCCCUCAAACCCCUUUUCUACCUCUCUUUCCACAGUUGUCCUAUCUACCUCACCCUCCCUCUCUUCCUCCAUACCAUCCCACACCCCCUCGUUGUCCACAGAGAAGACAACACACCCCUCCCCUGUCUCUGUCCCUGUUCCUGCACCUCUCUCAGCUCUGAGGAGCUCAACACAUUUGAAGGACUGGGAGACUUCUCUGAGUCCAGAGUGGUGGGAGAGGAAGAGCCCAGAAUGCAGAGAGACACAGACGCUUCUAGAAAUACCAGACAGACACACUCUUCUGGAAUACUCGGGCAGAGACAGACAGAUUGAAUACUCAGCGACAGACCGACAGACUGCAUACACUGAGAGAAACCGACAGACUCAUCUAGAAUACUCUGAGAGAGACAGACGGGCAGACUACUCAGAGAGAGACAGACGGGCAGACUACUCAGAGAGAGACAGACGGGCGGACUACUCGGAGAGAGACAGACGGGCGGACUGCUCGGAGAGAGGCAGGCGGGCGGACUACUCCGAGGGAGGCAGGCGGCCGGACUACUCCGAGGGAGGCAGGCGACCGGACUUCUCCGAGGGAGGCAGACGGGCGGACUUCUCCGAGGGAGGCAGACGGGCGGACUUCUCCGAGGGAGGCAGACGGGCGGACUACUCCGAGGGAGGCAGACGGGCGGACUACUCCGAGGGAGGCAGACGGGCGGACUACUCCGAGGGAGGCAGACAGGCGGACUACUCCGAGGGAGGCAGACAGGCGGACUACUCCGAGGGAGGCAGACAGGCGGACUACUCCGAGGGAGGCAGACAGGCGGACUACUCCGAGGGAGGCAGACAGGCGGACUACUCCGAGGGAGGCAGACAGGCGGACUACUCCGAGGGAGGCAGACAGGCGGACUACUCCGAGGGAGGCAGACAGGCGGACUACUCCGAGGAGGCAGACAGGCGGACUACUCCGAGGGAGGCAGACAGGCGGACUACUCCGAGGGAGGCAGACAGGCGGACUACUCCGAGGGAGGCAGACAGGCGGACUACUCCGAGGGAGGCAGACAGGCGGACUACUCCGAGGGAGGCAGACAGGCGGACUACUCCGAGGGAGGCAGACAGGCGGACUACUCCGAGGGAGGCAGACAGGCGGACUACUCCGAGGGAGGCAGACAGGCGGACUACUCUGAGGGAGGCAGACAGGCGGACUACUCUGAGGGGGAACUGGACGAAGACCAAGAACACACACAUCAUCACAGUGAACACACACAUCAGCACAGUGAACACACACAUCAGCACAGUGAACACACACACUUCGAGCAGGCCCCAGCAAGCUGGCUCAGUGUUCCACAGGUGUAUCUGCUGCCGGACACACCCGCAGCAAAGAGGGUUGUCGGCCCCAGCCACCUGUCCAAAUACCUGAAAGUGAAGGGCCUUCACAACACAGAACCGAUCAUAGGUCUGGGCAGUGUGGUGGAGUGUAGAGGUAUAUCCCAGGCUACGUUUUUCAUGUGUGUGAGCUGUGCUGAGACUCUCUCCAGUACACACAUCUGUGAACACAUCAUCAGCGCGCAACACCAGCAGUGCUACAUGUUUUCCCAGUAUAGUCCUAUGCGCUGUGAUUGGUUGAGAGAGCAGCAGCAGCCUCCGAGUCCACAGCUCCUCAGGAAGGUUGCUUCAGCACUGUCACAACUGGAGGUGGAUCUAGAUGCACAGGUGAUGCUGCUGGAUCAGAUGUGGUAUAACCUUGUGAAGUCAGCUCCAUUCUACGAAGCCAUGUACAUGCUGCAGGAACAGAAUCAGAAUGCCCUGUGUCUACACACAGCAAGCAGACAUCAGCUUUUUCCCCCAGUUGGUCCUGACCCAGCAACGGAGCAGGGCUUUGACCAGAACCACAGAGUGAUGGAUAAACUGACCAUGGAUCAGAUUGAGCCCCAUCACCCCCUGCAGACAGCAGAUACAGUGGCUGGUAAACUGACUGGAGAUCAGCUGGAGUCAGGCCAGUGCAUACAGACCGCAGACAGACGGCCAGAUAAUCAGAACCCGGAUCAGCCCCAGUGGAGCCAGAGCUCAGAGAGAACAGAGAUGGUCCCUGAGCCAAUAAGAGCCAAGACACCACAUAAUUCUGAGCCAAUCAGAGACCAGACACCACAGAACAUUGAGCCAAUCAGAGCCAAGACGUCAAAGAAUUCUGACCCAAUAAAAUUCCAGACACCACAGAACACUGGGCCAAAAAGAGCCUGGAUGCCACAGAACUCCUCAGAACCACAUCUGGACCAAGACAACACAGUCAUUGUCAAACAGGAGCCUGUGGACCCCAAGGUGGAACCUCAGCCCCAUCCUCAUACCCAGCCUGAGGUGGACCCCUUAAAGGGUGUGUGUGAGGUGGAGUACCAGGGGACCGUCCUAGCACACAGCCAAGAGGUGACACGAAUAGGAGGGGCCACAGAGAACUCCCUUCAACCCACCAAGAACUUGAGAGACUCCGUCAACAACAGCUUGCCUUUGGUCGGUCUCAGUGCAAUGAUAGAGUGUUGCAGUGAGGGCCAGGUGUCCUUCUACCUGUGUGUGUCGUGUGGCAGCAAAAUUGAAAAAACUCUACUCAUCAGCCACGUCCUCAAAUACAGACACCGACAGCUGUACCUGACAAUGAGGUACCCGUGGUAUUUCCUUGGUGUGGUACCAGCCCGAGGGUUGGCAGAACAGUCCAGACUGAUGCAGAUUGCUAAGGAGGUGGAGGAGCAGAACCAUGAUGAGCCUGGCACGCUACAGGAGGUGAUUCUGGCCCCUGCUGACUUUGCCGAGAUCAAACGGAUGCUGUUUGAUAAAGCUGUAUCCCGUUUGCAGGAGAUCUGUAGAGAGCAGAACCAGACUGAACUCCUCACCAUGGUCACCAGCAAACCUGAACCAAUAGUGGUCAAGCAGGAGAUUGUGGAGUGCCAGGUGGUCUCCCAUCAGGCCUUGGGGCUAUUCCUACCGCCACAGAGAUGUAGGAGAAACACGGGAAAACGUUGUUCUAACGUUGAGGGGUCAGAGGUGAGGGGUCAGCAGCAGGUGAAGAAGAGAAAGGUGUCCAGCCCCCCUGAGGGUCACACUGCCCCUGUCAUCUGUCUAUCAUCUCCUGAAGUCAUCAAGUCUUCUGAAACACACACUGUCAACCAGACACACAUCAUCACACCCUCACCCACACAAUCCAACACUAAGCCGAAACUCACAUACACACACUCUGACUCUCAAACUAAACUUAAACCUUCACGCACACACCCCAAACCCAGUUCAACAGCCCCAGAAUAUACUAGACCCAAACUCAUUCCCCAUUCUGCCACCAAGCCCUCCGGUAUCCCUGCCGACAGCCUGACUGUUGCCAAAGAGUCCUCUAGCAAGAAAGCCACUCACACACUGUGCAAACCCACACACACACUGUCCAAUAGCCAGAAGCUCACUGACAAACAUUCGGACAAGAAUGAGUCUCAGAAACAUACUGAAAAGGCUAAACCUACUCGCACACACAGUGAACGCACACACAGAAACCGCACACACACUCGCAAACACAGUGACCUCACACGCACUGACAAAGCCAAAGACGGACACAGUGACAAGACCAAACGCAGACACAGUGACCGCAAACACACUAACAGACAUUCUGACCACUCACGCUGUCACACCAGCUCUAAGAGACAUAAUCGUAGCUCCAGCCGUUCCUCCAAAGCCUCCCCCAGAGCUAGUCCCUCUGAGCCCCCUGCUCUCCCCCUACUCCCCGCUGCAUUCUCCCCCACCAGAGCCACUUCUGCGGCGAGCCUAAGCCAGGUCAAACCCAGCCAACCUUCCUGCCUAGUCAACAAACAACUACCCAAACAGUCCAGCCAACCAACCAAGAGACCUCCCAACCCAACCUCAGCAGUCAGACCUCUCCAGACCCAGGCCAACCCUCCCAACAACACCUCUUACCCCCACCUGCACCCAGAAAGAACCGGACCCAUGACCCCCCACUCGGACCCAUGACCCCCCACCCGGACCCAUGACCCCCCAACCCCCGGCAAUCCCUCCCUGCCUCACUCCUCCACCUCCACCCCAGCCAGGUCCUGUCUACGCCUCUGGGGUUAAGAAGAAGACUUCCAUUGUAGACUGUGAUCAAUUUGUGGAAUACUUUGUCUCUUUGUUGCGCUCCCCCCACUUUCCUCCUGCCCUAACCACCCCAGAGAGUGCAGAGAGCGCUGAGGCUCAUACCAGGGCAACAGGCCCUAACCCUGGAGGGGAGAAGAUGAGGGGUGACUCAAAAGGUCAUGCCAUCGCCAUAGUGGCGGCAUUACCCAACCCGCUAAAAAGGAAGCUAUCCCUACAGGAACCCGAGGACAGAGACCCCUGGAACUACGAGAGCCGACAGUUCACUCCCAACUCCAAACCUAACCCCAACUUCAAACCUAACCCAAACUUCCAGAACCCUGACUCCAAACCUAACCACAACUUCCAGAACCCUGACUCCAAACCUAACCACAACUUCCAGAACCCUAACUCCAAACCUAACCACAACUUCCAGAACCCUAACUCCAAACCUAACCACAACUUCCAAAACCCUAACCCUAAACCUAACCCCAACUUCCAGAACCCUAACUCUAACCCCAACUUCCAGAACCCUAACUCCAACUCUAACCCCAACUUCCAGAGUUAUACCCCCACUACCAAUGCCACACUAGCCCAGGGGGGUUACACUGGAGGGGUUACCGUUUCUUCUAGCCCUAACCCCACUGACCCACAGCCCCCAGAGAUUCUACCUGGUUACACCUACCCUGGUUACACCUACGCUGGUUACACCUACCCUGGUUACACCUACCCUGGUUCAGGUUACGCUGGAGUUGUCAGUGUUAGUCAGUUCACUUCCAACUCCCCCAUUAACCCUAUCCCCAGCCCCAGUAACACACAGUCACAGCCACAGGCAAGGUGGUCUGGGGGCAACUGGGGAACAGGCUACCCAGGGGCAGGCUAUGUUACAACAGGUCUAGCUGGUACUUCCUACCCUGGAGCUGUCUCUUCUGGAAGUGGACCUGGCUACCCUGGAGUUCUGCUCUACCCAGAGAUGGGCUACUCAGACAUGGACUGCCGUGGACAGGCUUACCCUAGGUCUGGGACUGGACUCGGCUCUACUGGGACUGUUAUGCCCCCAGGAAGCCUCUACUCUACCACACCAUCUCCAGCCAACCCCAGCUAUUUGGCCUUGACCCAGCCAUCACUUGACCCAGCCAGCUACUCCGCCUGGACUGCUACUGACACCGGGGUUGCCAUUGAAACCAGCACAGCAG
ensembl:lncRNA